rnacentral:sRNA from 1 species
GCCAGGCAUGGUGGCGCACGCAUGUAAUCCCAGUGCUCAGGAGGCUGAGACAGGAGGAUCAGGAGUUCAAAGCCAGCCUCAGCAACAGGCAAAGUGCUAAGUAACUCAGGGAGACCCUGUCUCUA